rnacentral:tRNA from 2 species
GGAGAGAUGGCCGAGUUCGGCUGAAGGCGUCUGCCUCGAAAGCAGAUAUGGGGGAAACUCCAUCGGGGGUUCAAAUCCCUCUCUCUCCG